rnacentral:rRNA from 1 species
CCUACGGGAGGCACCAGUGGGGAAUAUUGGACAAUGGGGGCAACCCUGAUCCAGCAAUGCCGCGUGUGUGAAGAAGGCCUGAGGGUUGUAAAGCACUUUCAGUGGGGAGGAGGGUAAUUUGGUUAAGAGCUGAGUUAUUGGACGUUACCCGCAGAAGAAGCACCGGCUAACUCCGUGCCAGCAGCCGCGGUAAUACGGAGGUUGCAAGCGUUAAUCGGAAUUACUGGGCGUAAAGCGCACGCAGGCGGUCUGUCAAGUCGGAUGUGAAAUCCCCGGGCUCAACCUGGGAACUGCAUUCGAAACUGGCAGGCUAGAGUCUUGUAGAGGGGGGUAGAAUUCCAGGUGUAGCGGUGAAAUGCGUAGAGAUCUGGAGGAAUACCGGUGGCGAAGGCGGCCCCCUGGACAAAGACUGACGCUCAGGUGUGAAAGCGUGGGGAGCAAACAGGAUUAGAUACCCGGGUAGUC